rnacentral:lncRNA from 1 species
UGCGCGAUGGCGACCCCAUGUACGACGUAAGUUACACUGAUGUACGCGUACUGUGGGGGUAUUGUGGGGGCGCGGGGGACGGGGGGCCCUGGCACAUGUGUAGAGACCGCGGCGUUGAGGGACAAGGCAGGCGGGUGCGGGUGUGGCACAAAAGAAGAUGUCAAAGUGCGACGAGAUCGGGUCCACCCCCUGAUACAGGUGGCCCCACAGGGAAAUGUACAUGGAACAUGGACGGCUGUGUAGGUACACCUCGCUUUACCAGAGUUAAGUCUCCCUCGCUAUUAUGAGGAUUUGCAAUACCUUCUUCCGCCUAUUCACGGUUCCAUGCUCAGGGUGUGGUCAAGUGGUUGGGUCGCCUACCCGGCGACGACGUGCCCUCCCUGCCCCUGGACUUCAACGCUGUGUGGCUGUCCCCCGGGCGCACCUUCCUAUCGCACUCCCUGGCGGGAGGGGAUGUGGCUUGGGAGGCGGUGGCCACGGACCCGGAUUUGCGGGAGCUGGGAUUCAGGCGGGUCGGGUCGGGAAAGGUUUAGGUUUAGUUCCCCUCGCCUCGCCUGUGCUCGCGUGUGUCUCGGUGUGUGUGUGUGUGUGUGUGUGUGUCAUAGGCGGUACAGGGUUUGGGGCCCUGGGGGUUCAGCGUGUGGGUCAUUCGGAUUUCCUACGGGGGAAGCAUUUAUAGGUUGCGGUCUGGUAAGUUUAGGACUGAAGUGAAGGAGGGGGAAGAGGGGAGAGGAGGGAUGGAGAUUCCAAGUGGUGCGGUUGCAGAGGGUUCGCGGUCUGCAAAGGAAAGAAAGAGCUAUGCAGCCGCCCUAGAGGUUGCGGGAACGGGGAGACGGUACAAGUUGUUUGAGGAGGGGCACGCGCUUGAGCCGGAAUUGCCGCGAUUCGCCUGAGCCACUGCACGGUAGUGCCCAUAGCCCAGCCUUACGUUAACGCGGCGUUCUGCAGCUCAAGGAGCGUACAUCUCCGGCGCAAUGGGGCGAACUGAGGCCGCCCUACUGCCAUGCAUUCUCAACAAAACGUGUACACGGGGUGCGUAAGCGCACGCCUGUGCGUGUUCCGAUUGCAUCGUCCGAUCCGUCGGACCUUAUCCAUGGCUUAUCCGUGUCCAGUCCCCCACUCUGAAUGUCUUAACCGCAGGUAUAACCUGAUCACCAAGCGAGUGGAGCGCCUUCCUCAGGGCGCACCGCGCACAGCAUCCCUUCGCAGUUCGAGUGU